CACUGUUACAAAGAGUGAGUGCAAGAGAUAAAGUGUGUGAUUCACACACAGCACAGACCUUGACCCACACUCCUGCAUGAUCAUGAAUAGAACUUGUGCACCAGAUAAUUACACAGACUGUUCUCCCUCCAGCUCCUCUGCAGGUCUGGCUGCAGGGCUUACAGUCUUCUUUCUGCUGCUCGUCAUAGCUGGUGUGGUUGUUUACAUAUACCGUGGUAAAAUCAGGGAUAUGUUACCCUUUGGACAAAGGAGUAACAGUGGAAAGGAGGACUGUACAGAGAGCCCACAGGAAGAGCCCCAUCAGUACAGCUGCAUGAUCAGAGAGCAGCCAGCAGGACAAAGUCCAAUCUAUGAAAACCUGACGACUCAAACGGCUCGCCACAGCCCGCAUCCUGUAAAGCAGAGCAGGCCACCUGUUGAACCUGAAGAGGACCCGUACCUGCAGUGUGAUUCACUAGAUGAUGGGAUAUACUACAAUGACCCAACACAUAACUCCAACUACCCAGACUUACAAGAAGAAGACGUGUAUAUUGUGCCCGAUUCAUAACAGGAUGCAUCUUUAUCAAGUCAUUUUCCUUAUGGACCACAGUCUUUGUCACACAAUUUUGAAAGCCAUCAAAGGCAGGUAUUUACUGAUUAGAUUAGAUUGUUUUAUGGUGUUCUCUUGAUACAUCUCAAAUGACUGAUGAGUCAUUUCAGUUUUGACCUUUAGAGAGGAGAAGCGUGGGCAGUGUGUCCAAAGCAUAACUUUUUCUAAGACAUUGUAAAGUCAAAAAGCAGUAUAUAAGUACACACAAAUACACUCUAUAUUAUGCACACACACACACACACACAGGCAGGCCCAGUAUUCGUUAUGUUUUCUGGAUGUUUUUGAGCUACUAUUUAUGGAAGUGAUAAACUUUUAUCAUUAGUGCAUUAUGGGUGAGUUAUGGUUACAGUUAUGGUCAUGGUUAUUUUACUAAGUUGUGAAAUUAUAUUUUGCUCUCUAUGCUCACAAUAAAGUGUUCUGUAAAUGUGUUUAUUGUUAUUAU
rnacentral:lncRNA from 1 species